ensembl:lncRNA
AAAAAAAAAAUUAUCCGAGAUAAACAGUAUCUCUGAUUAAGAAUUUCACGUUCACCAUGGACAGUUCCCCCAGACCACCAGAGGGCACCCUCACUCAUAUUUAAAAAAAAAAAAAAAGUUCUUCCUAGUCCAUCCAUCCAUCUUCUACCGCUUACUCCUUUUCAGGUCACGGGAAGUUCUUCCUUUAUUCUUUCACUUCCUGUGUUGGUGCACACCUGAGAUGGUUCUGUAAUUAUUCACCCUGUGCAAAACAUAUUUUUACAAGAUGAAUUUCAGCGUGAUAUAUUGUGGUUCCAUCAAACUGUCAGACGGUGGCGCUGGACUUAACACUGCUCCUCACUCGAGCCGAUAUCACACAAGACACAUGCGCAUAAGUUCAAGUUCAGAAUCGAGUGUAUCUGAGACACGCCUCUGUUUUAGAUAAACUCCGCCCCUGCAUGCGUGACUCUCACCUGACUUCUGAACAGUGUUGAGUGUGUAGUUACGUCUGAGUUCUGAAUACUGAUGUGUGGAAUUUCAGGAUUAAAUCCUAACUGUGCUCUUAACUCUGAAUGUGACCCCAAUAAUUCAGACUGAAUGUUUUAUCAGCAGUAGAAGAGAUAAAGACACUUACUCUCAAUGCUGAGACGCCAUACAGCGUAGUCUACUGCCGCCACACUCACACGCGUACGUGUUCCUCAUACUGUAUUCAGCUGCAGUGAUGGUGAGAGAGAGAUCUCCCUUCAGGUACUGAUCAUGAGACAUUUCAUAUCCCUUCACCACUGAGCUGCAUGAUGUCUGAUCACACCGAGCGAAGACAACAUCUCGAUUACGUUGUAAGGUCCACUUGGCCUCACCAGGACAUUCAUGGUCACAUGGGAGAGUCACACGCUGAUGAAGCUUCGCCUGGACACGACAGUCACAGCUGCUACAGGAGCUGAAAGAGAGAAUAAACCCUUUAUGUCAAGGCCAAAACUAUGAAGAUGAGUUUAGAUUUAAAUUGAAGAAUAAAGUGAGAGCACUGCGCUCUUUUCCACCGUGUGGAUUAAUCUGACUGCUGCAGGUGUAAAAACUCAUACAGAGAAAAUUCAGGGCUGUGUCCCAAACCACGUAAAGUGCACUAAGAUUCCUAAACACCAAUCACACGCUGUAGUGACAUUUAAUGUGAA